rnacentral:rRNA from 1 species
CCUACGGGAGGCAGCAGUAAGGAAUAUUGGUCAAUGGACGCAAGUCUGAACCAGCCAUGCCGCGUGCAGGAUGACGGCCCUCUGGGUUGUAAACUGCUUUUAUACGGGAAGAAACCUCUGGUUGCGAUCAGAGCUGACGGUACCGUAAGAAUAAGGACCGGCUAACUUCGUGCCAGCAGCCGCGGUAAUACGAAGGGUCCAAGCGUUAUCCGGAUUUAUUGGGUUUAAAGGGUGCGUAGGCGGCUUAUUAAGUCAGUGGUGAAAGACUUCAGCUUAACUGAAGAACUGCCAUUGAUACUGAUGAGCUUGAAUAUACUUGAGGUGGGCGGAAUGUGUCAUGUAGCGGUGAAAUGCUUAGAUAUGACACAGAACACCGAUUGCGAAGGCAGCUCGCUAAAGUAUGAUUGACGCUGAUGCACGAAAGCGUGGGGAGCAAACAGGAUUAGAUACCCUGGUAGUCCACGCCCUAAACGUUGAUAACUCGAUGUGUGCGAUAUACAGUACGCGUCCAAGCGAAAGCAUUAAGUUAUCCACCUGGGAAGUACGGUCGCAAGAUUGAAACUCAAAGGAAUUGACGGCUUGAGACGNGCGAGGACGACACGAGGGAGUAGG